rnacentral:rRNA from 1 species
AGUAAUGUAUGGGGAUCUGCCUGAUGGCGGGGAUAACUACUGGAAACGGUAGCUAAUAUCGCAUAAUGUCUGCGGACCAAAGCGGGGGACCUCCGGGCCUCGCGCCAUCAGAUGAACCCAUAUGGGAUUAGCUUGUAGGUAAGGUAACGGCUUACCUAGGCGACGAUCCCUAGCUGGUCUGAGAGGAUGAUCAGCCACACUGGGACUGAGACACGGCCCAG